AUGACAAAAGCCAAAGUCCACAGGGAUCUGGAGAUAAACCUACAUAGGGCAUUGAAAGAGUUGAAAUGUCAGUUUGACUCGUGUUGUAUGACUCUGGAAGAAUGUCUCUCAGCUGGAGUAGAAGAAUCAGUGAGAUCAUGUGUUAAGAGCACAAAAGACAUGAUCAAAUCUGUUCGACCAAAAGAUAACAGAGGUUUUCAUAAAAUUUAUCGAGCGAUGUGUGAACGAAAAGGAUAUUACUGGCCAAAAGACUGGGACGCACCUUUAGAGUUAAACAUGUGUUUGAGCAAGCACAUGUAUGACAGCCUCGAUGAGGAGUUUGAAUUAAUAUUUCCUGUUGAUGAUGAUGAUGUCAAGACAGGGAAAUCACUGCAAGAACAUCUUGAUAAGUUCAGCGUCAUCCAGAGUGACUCCCCAAGAUCAUUAUGGCAAAAACACAUUGAGAACUUCAUCAAAACACAGGAAUACAAAGUGAAGGCAUCACUCAGCGGAUACAUUGUUGAGAUAAAGAAGGAAAUCUACUCAUUAAUUCAAAAAACUAUUCAAAAGGAAAUGACACCUGGCUACAAAAGUAAGACACCAAAUGAAAUAUACAUAAACACAAACAAUUCAAUUAUUUUUGGUAUUGUCCAU
ensembl:lncRNA